GAACGCGAAGAACCUUACCUACCCUUGACAUGCCAGGAAGCCCGCAGAGAUGUGGGUGUGCCCGAAAGGGAACCUGGACACAGGUGCUGCAUGGCUGUCGUCAGCUCGUGUCGUGAGAUGUUGGGUUAAGUCCCGCAACGAGCGCAACCCUUGCCAUUAGUUGCUACAUUCAGUUGGGCACUCUAAUGGGACCGCCGGUGACAAACCGGAGGAAGUGGGGAUGACGUCAAGUCCUCAUGGCCCUUAUGGGUAGGCUUCACACGUAAUACAAUGGUCGUGUACAGAGGGCUGCCAACCCGCAAGGGGGAGCUAAUCCCAGAAAGCCGAUCGUAGUCCGGAUUGUAGUCUGCAACUCGACUGCAUGAAGCCGGAAUCGCUAGUAAUCGCGGAUCAGCAUGUCGCGGUGAAUACGUUCCCGGGUCUUGUACACACC
rnacentral:rRNA from 1 species